rnacentral:rRNA from 1 species
AACGAACGCUGGCGGCAGGCUUAACACAUGCAAGUCGAACGGGUGUAGCAAUACAUCAGUGGCAGACGGGUGAGUAACACGUGGGAACCUUCCUAGGGGUACGGAACAACUCAGGGAAACUUGAGCUAAUACCGUAUACGUCCGUGAGGAGAAAGAUUUAUCGCCCUUAGACGGGCCCGCGUCGGAUUAGCUAGUUGGUAGGGUAACGGCCUACCAAGGCGACGAUCCGUAGCUGAUCUUAGAGGAUGAUCAGCCACACUGGGACUGAGACACGGCCCAGACUCCUACGGGAGGCAGCAGUGGGGAAUCUUGGACAAUGGGCGCAAGCCUGAUCCAGCCAUGCCGCGUGAGUGAAGAAGGUCUUCGGAUUGUAAAGCUCUUUUGCCAGGGACGAUAAUGACGGUACCUGGAGAGUAAGCCCCGGCAAACUCCGUGCCAGCCGCCGCGGUAACAC